rnacentral:tRNA from 1 species
AAGCAAUAAUAGCUUAAAAUUUAAAGCAUUGGUCUUGUAAGUCGAAAAUGAAAAUUAUAUUUCUUAUUGCUA